CGUGCUCACGACGGAGCCUCCGUUCAUGCUUCCAUUCACCGGCUCCAAGCCGGACACCACUCAGUGCUGCCAUGGGUCAGGUUACAUCGUCUUGGAGUGGCUUUCUGGCUGGCUGCGGUCCCGAUACAGUUGUCCCCACCUGCAUGCAACCACACUUCAGAAGCAUCAAACCCUGCAGAAAGGGGGGCAGCAGCUUGGAAGGAAGCCCUGGAGGCAAGAGACAAGCACUCCCUGAACCCCAGGAUUCACAUGGUGGGAGCCCCCCAGGGAGGAGAACCAGGCUUAUCAGUAAAGCUCCCAAAGCAGAAGUCCAUUGCAGAGCCGGACUCAGCUUUUCCGGUUGUCGGAUGGAUCACAGAGGGGGCUGCUCUCCCCCAGGCACUCUCACUGGCUCACUGGGGAAGGUGGGAGUGAAACACACAGACGUCACGCCUCUGUCGGACUCUAAAUGUGAAGGAGUUUUCUGAACCCCAUAAAUAAUUUAUUUUGCUUCUAUUUCCCUUUUUAUGUAUGCCUCAGAAUUAUAUAUGAUGAGAACCUAUGUCUGAGUCAAAAAGCGUCCCUUCGGGAAGCAUAAAAUAAAUGUUCUCGUGAUAA